CCUGUGCUACUGCUGACUGUGUUCACCCUUUGUUUUUCUGCCUCUUGCUUCCUUCAACAAGACUCAACAGAACGAAGCUGUUCUACUGUGAGGCUCAUAACUGUGUGGUGUCGCUACGUCAACAUCACGUGAAGUAACAGGAGAACAGAAUGGAAGCCAUCCUUCGGGAGCACGUAAGUGUCAUAGCGUCGUUUAUUGGAUGGAUCAUCGGAAUCAUAUCCUGUGCUUUGCCCUGGUGGAAGGUAAUCAUCAAUGGACAACCUCCGAUAACCUUGGAAGGCAUCUGGAUGAGAUGUGUGCAGGAGACUGACCAGGAGAAAAGAUGUGUAUACUAUAAGUCCACACAGGAGAUCAGCACUGACCUGCUGGCCGCCCGUUUCUGCUGCAUCAGCUCCAUUGUGCUGGGAAUGCUGGGAGUCUUACUGUCUGUCGUAGGGUCCAAGUGCACUAACUGCACACAGAGCAGAGUCAAGGUGAAGAGCACUGCUGCAGUGAUAUUAAUCUGUGCUGCAGUCUUACUGCUGAUCCCCCUGGGCUGGUGUGCGUAUACAUUCAUUGCCUGGCUCAUACAGCCUGUGCCGGGGGCCGGGAUACAGAUGCCAGGAAAGUCUUUCUACCUCGGGGGGGCGUCUGCCCUCCUCCUGCUGGUAGGGGGAGCACUGAACUUUCCCUGCAAAAAACACCACGAAAAAGUCUUAGGAUUGGCUCAGAGAGUUUGGUAUACGACUAAUAUGAAUAACAUCUUUACAUCUGAGUGGUAAUCAUGUAGAGUUUUUUCAGUCAAAAGAAAAUGUAUUCAGCAUUACUGUACAUGCUUAACCUCUACGUCUGCAUUAACCUCUGCAUUUAUUUAGCAGAUAAUUGAAAGGCAUGUAUUGAAAUGAUCAGGUUAAUUAUAAGUAUGUAUCGUAAUGGUAAUAACAAAACAUUUAUAUAAAAAUAACAACAUUCCCUAUCAGAGAACAAUUAUUUCCGGAAUGUUUUUUGUUUUUCUUUGUACUGUUUAAAAUAAAGAUUUUGAGGCUGGUGUUUUA